GGUGACAGCGGAGGGAUCAUUACCGAGUACUAUAACUCAUAACCCUUUGUGAACCUUUAUACCUGUUGCUUCGGCGGCGCGCCUCCCGGGGCGUGCCCGCCGGUAUCAUCAGAAUCUCUGUUCGAACCCGACGAUAUUUCUGAGUGUUCUAAGCGAACUGUUAAAACUUUCAACAACGGAUCUCUUGGCUCCAGCAUCGAUGAAGAACGCAGCGAAACGCGAUAUGUAAUGUGAAUUGCAGAAUUCAGUGAAUCAUCGAAUCUUUGAACGCACAUGGCGCCUUCCAGUAUCCUGGGAGGCAUGCCUGUCCGAGCGUCGUUUCAACCCUCGAGCCCCCGUGGCCCGGCGUUGGGGAUCUGCCCAGGCAGUCCCCGAAAACCAGUGGCGGACCCGUUACAGGCCCUUCCCUUGCGUAGUAGCAUUCGCCUCGCAUCGGGAGCCGGCGGGCUUCCAGCCUCUAAACCCCCAUCAAGUCCGCCCCGGCGGCACCAAGGUUGACCUCGGAUCAGGUAGGAAUACCCGCUGAACUUAAGCAUAUC
rnacentral:rRNA from 1 species